GCCAGGCACAGUGGCACUUGCCUGUAAUCCCAGCGGCUUGGAGGCUGAGGCAGGAGGAUUGCAAAUUCAAAGCCAGCCUCAGUAACUUAGCAAGGCCCUAAGCAACUUGGGUGAGAUCCUGUCUCUA
rnacentral:sRNA from 1 species